CCUACGGGUGGCAGCAGUGGGGAAUCAUUCACAAUGGGGGAAACCCUGAUGGUGCGACGCCGCGUGGGGGAAUGAAGGUCUUCGGAUUGUAAACCCCUGUCAUGUGGGAGCAAAUUAAAAAGAUAGUACCACAAGAGGAAGAGCCGGCUAACUCGGUGCCAGCAGCCGCGGUAAUACAGAGGUCUCAAGCGUUGUUCGGAAUCACUGGGCGUAAAGCGUGCGUAGGCUGUUGCGUAAGUCGUGUGUGAAAGGCGCGGGCUCAACCCGCGGACGGCACAUGAUACUGCGAGACUAGAGUAAGGGAGGGGGAAGCGGAAUUCUCGGUGUAGCAGUGAAAUGCGUAGAUAUCGAGAGGAACACUCGUGGCGAAGGCGGGUUCCUGGACAUUAACUGACGCUGAGGCACGAAGGCCAGGGGAGCGAAAGGGAUUAGAUACCCCUGUAGUC
rnacentral:rRNA from 1 species